UGCAGACGAGAAGGAGGGGGGGGGGGAGUGAAAUCAGACCGGAAACGUCUCAUCUUGUCAGUGGAGAAAGAAAGUCAGCGUGCGGAAAUGUGUCUGACCUUGUUGUCCAUGUUGAUGCAGAGUGAGGGCCAGGCAGGACAUUCGCUGUCUGAUUCCACCGGCUUGCAGAACGACGGAGACAUGUCCAACUCGUCUCUGUGACAGGGUGAAGCUCGACACUCUUCAAAAAAAAGAAAAAAAAACAUGAGCGUGUCCUGGCUGUGCGUGUGGCGCCGGUGACGGCGGUGGACCUUUCCCGAAUACGACGUCUCGUUCUCUUCCACGCUGAGCUGAUGGUCGGAGGCGGGACCGCUCAGAGGGAAGCUGAGGACGACACGGCACAUCAAAAGCAAUCACUCCUGCCUAUAAUUUUUUUUCCCACCCUACAACCUAAUUCCACAUCAUAAAAUUCUCACUCCAUAACAUUAAAUUUCAUUCCUAUUUAUUCCAGUAAAAUCUUAAUUAUUCCCAUUGUAGGUUUUUCCUUUACAAAUAUACAGAACAAAAAUAAAAAUCAUUCACAUUUCUCUAUUUUAUUAGCAAUAAGGCAAAAAGCCAUUCAUUAAGCCACAAAUUAAGUAUGUAAACAACUUUUGGUGAAUUGAUAACUGUCAUUCAUGACUUCACGGUGAACUGUAAAGCAUAAAGCAGUAGCAAAUGAUGCAGCAUACAUGUUUGGUUCCUUGUGACCUUUGGGAAAUAACAUCAUUUAAACGCUUCGUCACAUAAUUGCUUCCUGCAAGCGAACAAAGAUUGAAAACUGUCAAAUGUAAAACAGCGGUAGGGAACCUUUGCUUAUGAUGUGCCAUGUAAAAUGUUUUUUUUUAAAUUUAAUAAUUCUCCAAAUAUGCCAUGCGCACCAUUAAUUAGGAACAGUUGCAACUGUUUUGAGGUGCUGAUAUUCAAACUGCACAACAUGUCAGUAUCACAAUGUUAAAUAUGUUUUUUUUAAGAAUAAAACUUUUUGGGACUCUGACAUUUUUUGGCCGGGCCGGAGCAAAUGCUCUCCUGGGCCGCACACAGCCCACGAGCCAUAUGUUUCCCACACCUGCUAUAUAAA